rnacentral:lncRNA from 1 species
GCCGACGCCAACACUAUCUUCGAUCUGAUGAAUUCAAUGGAAUUAAAGGAAACUAAACCCUAAGGGGGAUAAUAUCUAGUAAACCCAAGGGGUCUAAUCACAAACAUUAAUUGAAUCGAAACUUUCCAUUCGUCUUCAAAUCUAAACCAAAUUUGUGAAUUACAUGUUCCCGAUCUUAUCAUCAACUUACCAUCAUCUUCUUCUUCUACUUGCUUCUCACCACCGUGCAAACCACCAUUGUCACCGGAUCUCUUCAUCCCAACCAUCUAAUUUCCAGUAUCGACUUCUGCGUGUCGUCUCCUCAUCGUCACCACCAUCUCGAUCACCGGAUUUGUCAUCGUUUUCACAAUUUCGUUCUCCGAAGUUCAUCAUCGUCACCAUCAUCUCCACAAAUCGUUGUUGACACGUUGUCACAGAGAACUCAGAGUCUAAAUCGAAAUGUCAUCAAAGCUUCUCGUCACUGGGUGUAAGGGUAAAAAAAAAAGAUAUUUUGGUAUAAAAAAAAUACCUAAAUCAUCAAGUAUGGACAAAAUAACCGGAUCCGAUAAUUUAUGUCGGAAUAAAGUCCAAUCCGGUAAUUGAUUUUUUUUUAUAAACUCACUAAAAUUGAGUGGAUAAAAAUUAGUUGGUUCUCAAAUCCCUAGAUUUUUUAUUUUGAAAACGUGAAUUUGUUAGUAAUUUGUCAAAAAACAUGAAUUAUUAUUAGUAGUCUUUUUUUUUUUUCGUCUGAAGUUUUAUUAAUAAACCAAGAGAGUUACAAGAUGGAAUACAUAAGCCGGCAGACGACAUGAAUGUCCCCAGAAACAUUUGCCCAAAAGAGGGAAACAAAGCCCUAAAGUACAGGGAAACUGAUUAAAACCAAACAUAGAAACAAAAAUUUAAAGAGGAAACAAACGUCAUGGAGAAAGAGCA